UCUGACUUCAUUACCCAUUAAUAAUUCCCGUCAAUCUCUCUUUUUGUAUCAUCCCUCUUUCAAAUUGACCCAUAAUAUAGUUGCGUUGCGCAUCAAAAUUGGUUAUAGCAGCAACCAGAAGAACAACCGAACAGAACCUAAAAUCCCCAAACCUCUCCUUCCGCAUCAAUGGCUGAAAUCGGAGAAACUCCACAUACCCAAUUAGAUACCCAGAAAAUAAAAUAUUUCAGCAUUUGGCCCCUAACACAGCGCAUCCGUGACGCCGUCGUUCAGCGUCUCAUCGAGGCUCACUCUUCCCCUUCCAUUUUCUCCAAACAUUACGGCACUCUCACAAAAGAAGAGGCGUCAGAUAUCGCCAGGCGCGUCGAGGAAGAGGCCUUUACCUUUGCUGGAUCCUCUGCCUCCUCUGACGAUGAUGAAAUCGAGAUCGUUCGGGUAUACUGCAAGGAUAUUAGCAAGCGUAUGUUGGAUGCUGUGAAGUCUAGAUCCGCUGCUACCACGACCACUGAAGAUGACAGUGGACCGUGGGAGCCGCUGUAAGAUGCUUCGAAGUCUUCUGCUCGCACGGGGAAUUCUCAUCCGUUGAAACCAGCCACUGAAAAAUGCAAUUGAGAUCGAUAUAUGUUAUGUUGGAUCAAUUGAAACAUCUAUUUGGGAGCCUUCUGAUUCAUUGCCUUUCUUCAGUAACAUGCAUAUGUACGAGGGUUCUUGAUAGGCAAAAUACAAAAGUUACCUCUUAAACUAUGAGCGAAAUUCCUGGUGCAUACUCAACCUUUCAAGACUGUGUCAGAUACACACUACUUCUGACCAAAUAUAUUACACGUAAAAGGAGCGUGUGAAGAGGUGAAAAAUUUGUGUCUGCAGCUUUAUGUCACCGGUUUAGAUUUAAUAAAGUUGAUACUAUGGUCCAACUUAAUUGUUUUUAUAUUUCUUUUUUCUUUUGUUUUCCCCUCCAAUCCCAUGACCAACGAACCCCUCAUGUUCUCUUCCAUCUAACUCCAUCGUUUCAUUUCACUGAAUUACUCCAACAAGAAAAAAUCCAGUAAUCCUACACUAUUAGAAGUCCAAGGAAGUUCUAUU